rnacentral:rRNA from 1 species
GGUUAAGCGACUAAGCGUACACGGUGGAUGCCCUGGCAGUCAGAGGCGAUGAAGGACGUGCUAAUCUGCGAUAAGCGUCGGUGAGGUGAUAUGAACCGUUAUAACCGGCGAUUUCCGAAUGGGGAAACCCAGUGUGUUUCGACACACUAUCAUUAACUGAAUCCAUAGGUUAAUGAGGCGAACCGGGGGAACUGAAACAUCUAAGUACCCCGAGGAAAAGAAAUCAACCGAGAUUCCCCCAGUAGCGGCGAGCGAACGGGGAGCAGCCCAGAGCCUGAAUCAGUGUGUGUGUUAGUGGAAGCGUCUGGAAAGGCGCGCGAUACAGGGUGACAGCCCCGUACACAAAAAUGCACAUGCUGUGAGCUCGAUGAGUAGGGCGGGACACGUGGUAUCCUGUCUGAAUAUGGGGGGACCAUCCUCCAAGGCUAAAUACUCCUGACUGACCGAUAGUGAACCAGUACCGUGAGGGAAAGGCGAAAAGAACCCCGGCGAGGGGAGUGAAAAAGAACCUGAAACCGUGUACGUACAAGCAGUGGGAGCCUCUUAAUGGGGUGACUGCGUACCUUUUGUAUAAUGGGUCAGCGACUUAUAUUCUGUAGCAAGGUUAACCGAAUAGGGGAGCCGAAGGGAAACCGAGUCUUAACUGGGCGUUAAGUUGCAGGGUAUAGACCCGAAACCCGGUGAUCUAGCCAUGGGCAGGUUGAAGGUUGGGUAACACUAACUGGAGGACCGAACCGACUAAUGUUGAAAAAUUAGCGGAUGACUUGUGGCUGGGGGUGAAAGGCCAAUCAAACCGGGAGAUAGCUGGUUCUCCCCGAAAGCUAUUUAGGUAGCGCCUCGUGAAUUCAUCUCCGGGGGUAGAGCACUGUUUCGGCAAGGGGGUCAUCCCGACUUACCAACCCGAUGCAAACUGCGAAUACCGGAGAAUGUUAUCACGGGAGACACACGGCGGGUGCUAACGUCCGUCGUGAAGAGGGAAACAACCCAGACCGCCAGCUAAGGUCCCAAAGUCAUGGUUAAGUGGGAAACGAUGUGGGAAGGCCCAGACAGCCAGGAUGUUGGCUUAGAAGCAGCCAUCAUUUAAAGAAAGCGUAAUAGCUCACUGGUCGAGUCGGCCUGCGCGGAAGAUGUAACGGGGCUAAACCAUGCACCGAAGCUGCGGCAGCGACACUGUGUGUUGUUGGGUAGGGGAGCGUUCUGUAAGCCUGUGAAGGUGUGCUGUGAGGCAUGCUGGAGGUAUCAGAAGUGCGAAUGCUGACAUAAGUAACGAUAAAGCGGGUGAAAAGCCCGCUCGCCGGAAGACCAAGGGUUCCUGUCCAACGUUAAUCGGGGCAGGGUGAGUCGACCCCUAAGGCGAGGCCGAAAGGCGUAGUCGAUGGGAAACAGGUUAAUAUUCCUGUACUUGGUGUUACUGCGAAGGGGGGACGGAGAAGGCUAUGUUGGCCGGGCGACGGUUGUCCCGGUUUAAGCGUGUAGGCUGGUUUUCCAGGCAAAUCCGGAAAAUCAAGGCUGAGGCGUGAUGACGAGGCACUACGGUGCUGAAGCAACAAAUGCCCUGCUUCCAGGAAAAGCCUCUAAGCAUCAGGUAACAUCAAAUCGUACCCCAAACCGACACAGGUGGUCAGGUAGAGAAUACCAAGGCGCUUGAGAGAACUCGGGUGAAGGAACUAGGCAAAAUGGUGCCGUAACUUCGGGAGAAGGCACGCUGAUAUGUAGGUGAAGUCCCUCGCGGAUGGAGCUGAAAUCAGUCGAAGAUACCAGCUGGCUGCAACUGUUUAUUAAAAACACAGCACUGUGCAAACACGAAAGUGGACGUAUACGGUGUGACGCCUGCCCGGUGCCGGAAGGUUAAUUGAUGGGGUUAGCGGUAACGCGAAGCUCUUGAUCGAAGCCCCGGUAAACGGCGGCCGUAACUAUAACGGUCCUAAGGUAGCGAAAUUCCUUGUCGGGUAAGUUCCGACCUGCACGAAUGGCGUAAUGAUGGCCAGGCUGUCUCCACCCGAGACUCAGUGAAAUUGAACUCGCUGUGAAGAUGCAGUGUACCCGCGGCAAGACGGAAAGACCCCGUGAACCUUUACUAUAGCUUGACACUGAACAUUGAGCCUUGAUGUGUAGGAUAGGUGGGAGGCUUUGAAGUGUGGACGCCAGUCUGCAUGGAGCCGGCCUUGAAAUACCACCCUUUAAUGUUUGAUGUUCUAACGUUGGCCCCUGACCGGGGUUGCGGACAGUGUCUGGUGGGUAGUUUGACUGGGGCGGUCUCCUCCUAAAGAGUAACGGAGGAGCACGAAGGUUGGCUAAUCCUGGUCGGACAUCAGGAGGUUAGUGCAAUGGCAUAAGCCAGCUUGACUGCGAGCGUGACGGCGCGAGCAGGUGCGAAAGCAGGUCAUAGUGAUCCGGUGGUUCUGAAUGGAAGGGCCAUCGCUCAACGGAUAAAAGGUACUCCGGGGAUAACAGGCUGAUACCGCCCAAGAGUUCAUAUCGACGGCGGUGUUUGGCACCUCGAUGUCGGCUCAUCACAUCCUGGGGCUGAAGUAGGUCCCAAGGGUAUGGCUGUUCGCCAUUUAAAGUGGUACGCGAGCUGGGUUUAGAACGUCGUGAGACAGUUCGGUCCCUAUCUGCCGUGGGCGCUGGAGAACUGAGGGGGGCUGCUCCUAGUACGAGAGGACCGGAGUGGACGCAUCACUGGUGUUCGGGUUGUCAUGCCAAUGGCACUGCCCGGUAGCUAAAUGCGGAAGAGAUAAGUGCUGAAAGCAUCUAAGCACGAAACUUGCCCCGAGAUGAGUUCUCCCUGACUCCUUGAGAGUCCUGAAGGAACGUUGAAGACGACGACGUUGAUAGGCCGGGUGUGUAAGCGCAGCGAUGCGUUGAGCUAACCGGUACUAAUGAACCGUGAGGCUUAACCUU